CGCGGGAUGGAGCAGCCUGGUAGCUCGUCGGGCUCAUAAACCCGAAGGUCGUCGGUUCAAAUCCGGCUCCCGCAACCA
rnacentral:tRNA from 1 species